CAUUUUUCCCCCAAUGAAUGUGUAUGCUAAGAAGGAGAACUACAUUCCACUGUGUAAUCUUAGGCAAACACGGCCUGGCUGUUGCUUCUGCAUUAAUCAAAGUUUCUCUCAUCUUGUUUUAUUUUCCCCAGCAUCUUAAUCAGUGGUCUUGGCUGUUUCCCAGCUUCUCAGAUGUAUGUACAGUAGGACUGAUACUUGUCCAGGAUCACAUCCCAAAAGAAAGAAGUAAAUUGCAACACAAAGGAUGCUAACAGAAAGACCAGGCUGCUAAAGACCCACUCAUUGUGUAGAAAAGACAUCAGCUGACAAGGGAACCUGUUUGGAAAUGCCAGAACCUUUUGGUAGAGGUCCACCAUGUUCAAGAUCCAAAACAGAUGUCUGGUGGGCAAGAAGAUCUUGUUUUAUGAUCAACAGAAACACAGAAUGGGAUCUUUAGCUAGAAAAUUGAUGGCUAACUAUUAGCUAUGCCUGAUUAAUCGGUUAAUUUUGUUGUGCUUUCUCUGAAUUUUCAGCUUACAGCUAUCGCCUCAUUAUCUAUCAUCGUUGGAUAUUUUCCUACACUAUAGACUUGAAAAUCACUUGCGGCAAACAGACAUUUAAUUACAUUUCAAUGUGCAUUUUCCUUCUUUUUAUCACACAUUCAGAGCUUAUAUAUUCAGUGGAAACAGCUGAGACUGUCUCCUGCCUUUUUUAGUGCCCUGGUUGACCUGAUGUCCACCAUGUUUACUUUUGGCUUGUUACUUAAUACAGACUUGUGGGUCAACAAGGCAAUUGGACAAGGAAUAUCCAUGAUUAGAGAUUAUCAGAAAAACUGUGGUCAGUUCUUCAUGGGGUUAGAGUGAGUUGGUCUUGGGAAAACGCAGGAGAUAAAAUUUCCUUAUGAAGGAAGGGAGAUAGUUAUGCAAUGUUCUGUAGAAAAGUCCAUCUAAAAUAUAAGAAAUUCCACGAAGGUGGGGAGAGCGAGGAUGAGUACAUUAGCCCUGUACCUUUUCUGAAGGCUAGAUGAAAGUAAACCCUUGGGGGGUGGUUUAAAGAAGCUAAAGGAGUAAUGUUUCUCAUUGUACUAGAAUCUAUUGAGUAUUUUAGUCAGGACUAGUAAAUUCAUGUUGCCAUUUCAGCAUCUUUCCUUUCUGUGCAAAACCAUUACAUUAGCAUUAUUUUCUUGGAGUGCAAGUGUUUCUGUGCUAGGUCUGUCUACUUGCCUGAGUAUCUAGUUUUGCUUAGUAGUCAACAGAACUAGCUAAACAGAGAAGUAACCAUAAGGAAUAAUCAAAUGAUGCAUGACUCAUCUGUCUUGAGAUGGAUUUAGCAAUCCCAGGCAAGUAGCAUAGACAAGUGAGAGAGAUGGCAACUGGUAGACCUGGAUUCAGUUAAACUACAGGGUGAUCUCAGUCAACCACAACAUCAAAGAGAAUUGUCUGCAUGAGAAAUGGUACAAGUCUGUAGCAUGUCCUGCCUAUGCCCUAAAUUUAUUCUUCAUAAUUUCUGGUUUACCUUUUUUUAAAAAUGAAAUAAAGAGGUUUUGUCUGUA